rnacentral:rRNA from 1 species
GACGAACGCUGGCGGCGUGCCUAAUACAUGCAAGUAGAACGCUGAAGAGAGGAGCUUGCUCUUCUUGGAUGAGUUGCGAACGGGUGAGUAACGCGUAGGUAACCUGCCUUGUAGCGGGGGAUAACUAUUGGAAACGAUAGCUAAUACCGCAUAACAAUGGAUGACACAUGUCAUUUAUUUGAAAGGGGCAAUUGCUCCACUACAAGAUGGACCUGCGUUGUAUUAGCUAGUAGGUGAGGUAAUGGCUCACCUAGGCGACGAUACAUAGCCGACCUGAGAGGGUGAUCGGCCACCCUGGGAAGGAAACACGGCCCGUACUCCUACGGGAGGCAGCAGGAGGGAAUCUGCGGCAAUGGGGGCAACACUGAACGAGCAACGCGGCGUGGGUGAAGAAGGUGUUCGGAUCGUAAAGUUCUGUUGUAAGUCAAGAACGGGUGUGAGAGUGGAAAGUUCACAAUGUGACGGUAGCUUACCAGAAAGGGACGGCUAACCACGUG